GAUGUUUUCUCUAAUUUAAGUAUAGAUUUAUUUAAUCACAAAUUUUAUUUACGUUUUAUUAUUCAUAUAUGUGUAUCAUUUAGCGGUAGAUAUAUGUUUGCACAAUAUUUUAUUACAACUCUUGACAUAAAAAAUUACCAUAUUAUUAUAUAGUUCUUAGUUUAAUUUUUUAAUAUAUAGCCUUCUUAUAUAAAUUAUUGGUUGAAUUUGCAAUAUCUUUAUAGUAUAAAAUACGGCAGAUAUAUUUCUUUCCUAAAAUGUACUUUAUAAUUAAGCAACACUGUUACGCCGUGCUCAAUAGCAAUACUGACGUAUUUUUACUAAGUUUCGUUGAAUAAGCAUUUUCUGGACCCCGUUAUUUGACAUGGUUGCUUAAUUGCAUCUUACAUUUUUCUGUGGUUAAUCUUUAUUAACUUACCACAAUUGAAAAAAGGAAUAAAUAUGUAUCUUAAUUUUUCUGGUAUUUGCCAAUAAUAGCCGCUCCUGUAAGAAUAUAUAUUAAAAUACACUGAUUUUAUUUUGAAAAAAUAUUAAAGUUUUACAUAUAACCAAUAUUUUUUGGACAACUUUUUCAUAAUUUAAAAGAAAAUAGCAAUAUGCAACCAUUUUCCGGUUAAAAGUCGGCCAUCUUGGCUCCACAUACUGUUUCAGCACUGUGACUAUGGACGAUUGCUUUUUAAUGUUGCAGACUGCAUUUGGGUUGUUUUGAAAAUUUAAUGACGCAACGGCCAAAAAAAAAAAA